GUGAUUCAUUCGCAACCUAAUUGUCAACUCAUUUAAUCUUACUUUAGAUGUUAAUUAAUUGUUGGUAAAUGUUAACCAAUUUACUAGUAAUGUUCAGAUUGAUUAAAUUGAGUAAAUAAUCAAGUGAAUUUAUACUUUUUUCUUCCCUCUUUUUUUGCCAUUUUCACCUCUUUCCUUUUCCUCUUUCUCUCUCCUUUUUGGUUUUCUGGUUUUGUGGUGGUAACAUUUUGGCUCUCUCAUUUUCUCCCCAUUUGCCUAUGUUGUUGUCUAACUGUGUCUGAGUUGUUACACUUUCUCCACUAUAAAUGUAAUUAACUAAUUAAUUGAAUUAAUUAAUGGUACAACACCUUCAAUAAUCAUGGUAAAUGAUGUUGCCUAUGAGAUGAUAAUGCUGACACUUGAAGAUUCUCUCUCUCUCUCCCUCUCAUUUUCUGUCUCUUUUUUUUGUUCAUAAUGAAUAAUCUCAACUUGUAAGGCAUUACUACCACCCCCUUUAUUCCAAGCAGUAUCCAUAUUUUAACUAUUAUUCAAAAUCAAUGGCUGCCACCGAGUGACAAACAAGAUUGAGAAGGAGGAGAAGAAGGAGAAAGAGAGAGUGAGAGAGAGGAUAAAGAUUGGUGACAAAGUCAAAUUGAAGAAAAGACAAAGCCAAGUGUGUAAUCGUGAUUAUAAUAAAAAAGAAAAGGAAGAGAACAAGUUACAUCAAUGGAAUAAAAAUGGAUAAAAAUGUGAUAAAAAUUAUAUUCAUCUGCUGCUGGUGUUGCUUCAUCUUCUUCCUCAACCAGUCAUCCAUAAUGAUGAUCAUGAUGCCAAAAGCAUGUUGAACCUGUAACUACUACUACAUAAGUGUUAUUAUUUUCAGUACUAUUAUUAUAAGUACAAGGAACCUUAGAGAACCUUGGGAGUGUCUAUUAAAAUAGCCCAAGGGGUUAUCCUUUCUUUUCCCAUCAUCAUAAUAAUCAUCAUCACUCCUUGUGAUUUUUCAUCCUCAUCCUUGUAUAUUUAUAUAUGGUUAAUAUAUAUAUAUAAAUACAUCAAUAGAGUGUUCAAUACAAUAUCCAUAUAGAAUCAAAUAAGAUUAUAUUAAAAGACAGUGAGAGAGAAAGAGAGAGAGAGAGAGAGAGAGAGAGACAAAAAGAAAAUGAUCUCUCUUGUAAUACUGCUGUAAAAAAAAGGAUGAGGAUGAAAGUAAAGGAGUGAUGAUGAUGAAGAAUGUGAUGAAAGUGCUUUCUCAUGUAAAGACGAGUUAAAGAGACGACUCCUUUUCACCAUGUUCAUCACCAUGAUGAUCAUCAUUGGAGAGUCUCAAUUGCUACACAUAAAUAUAAAAAAAAAGAAGAGCUUAA